UGCGGCGUGCCUAAUACAUGCAAGUCGAGCGAAUGGAUUAAGAGCUUGCUCUUAUGAAGUUAGCGGCGGACGGGUGAGUAACACGUGGGUAACCUGCCCAUAAGACUGGGAUAACUCCGGGAAACCGGGGCUAAUACCGGAUAACAUUUUGAACYGCAUGGUUCGAAAUUGAAAGGCGGCUUCGGCUGUCACUUAUGGAUGGACCCGCGUCGCAUUAGCUAGUUGGUGAGGUAACGGCUCACCAAGGCAACGAUGCGUAGCCGACCUGAGAGGGUGAUCGGCCACACUGGGACUGAGACACGGCCCAGACUCCUACGGGAGGCAGCAGUAGGGAAUCUUCCGCAAUGGACGAAAGUCUGACGGAGCAACGCCGCGUGAGUGAUGAAGGCUUUCGGGUCGUAAAACUCUGUUGUUAGGGAAGAACAAGUGCUAGUUGAAUAAGCUGGCACCUUGACGGUACCUAACCAGAAAGCCACGGCUAACUACGUGCCAGCAGCCGCGGGUAAUACA
rnacentral:rRNA from 1 species